rnacentral:rRNA from 1 species
UUAGGAAUCGUACACAAUGGACGAAAGUCUGAUGUCGUGACGCCGCGUGAAGGAAGAAGGCCUUCGGGUUGUAAACUUCUUUUAUUUCGGAGAAUUAUGAUAGUACGAAAUGAAUAAGCAUCGGCUAACUCCGUGCCAGAAGCCUCGGUAAUACGGAGGAUGCGAGCGUUAUCCGGUCUUAUUGGGCGUAAAGAGCGCGUAGGCGGUUUGUUAAGUCCGGUCUUAAAUAUUGCGGCCCAACCGCAAAGCUGGGUCGGAUACUGACGAACUUGAAUAUUUGCAGGGGCAAGCGGAAUCUGCGGUGUAGGAGUAAAAUCCAUUGAUAUCGCAGAGAACACCAAUGGCGAAGGCAGCUUGCUAGGCAUUCAUUGACGCUGAGGCGCGAAAGCGUGGGUAGCGAACGGG